GACGUAGGGCGCGAGCGUUGUCCGGAUUUAUUGGGCGUAAAGAGCUCGUAGGCGGCUUGUCGCGUCGACUGUGAAAUCCCUCGGCUCAACUGAGGAAGUGCAUCCGAAACUGGCAGGCUUGAGUACUAAAGAGGGUCGCGGAAUUCCCGGUGUAGAGGUGAAAUCGUAGAUAAUCGGGAGGAACACCGGUGGCGAAGGCGGCGACCUGGGUAGAUACGUGACGCUGAGGUGCGAAAGCGUGGGGAGCAACAGGAUUAA
rnacentral:rRNA from 1 species